CCGUUGGUGGACGAGGCGCCGCCGCCGCCGCCGCCGCCCGCCGGGUUCUUGGCGCUGCCGUUGGCCGAUCGGUUCUUCCCCAGUAACUCGGGCCCUUUCUCCAUCAUGCCGGGCAUGGUAUAAGAGGGGAGGGGGAAAGGUCAAUGCGGAGUGGAUCAAAGCAGAAAUCACUGAAAGCAGAAACAUACCUAAAGCAGGAGUGUCUCAAUCAGGAAUUGAACCAAAAAAAAAGCCUGGGAAGUAAAUAUUUGGCAGGAUCCCUGUCUAAAGAGGAAAGUCUCCUGAGCAGUGGGUUUAUUGGGAUGUGAUCCCACUAUAGUCAAGGAAGAUCUGUACAGCCCAGCAUCUUGAUGGUUGCCUUGUGAGAGACCCUGACCAAGAGGACUCAACUAAGCCAUGCUGUGGUUCCUGACCCACGUGAAAUGUGUCCAAAAGCUGCUUUCCAUGGAACAUGAGUGAUUUCUUCAGGGUGCCCAAAGGAAGAGCCACACACCACACUCCAUUGCAUAUUCCCUGAGAGCAAGAGCUGGCUCAGAGAGAGAGAGCACAAUCGGGGGAGCAGCGGAAGGAGAAGAAGAAGCAGGCUCCCUGCUGAGCAGAGAGCCCAAUGAAGGGCUUGAUCCCAGGACCCUGAGAUCAUGACCUGAGCUGAAGGCAGACACUUAACUGACUGAGCCACCAAGGCACCCCAAGAGUUGUAAAUAUUUCUAACAAAGUCUAAAAUUUAACAGAUUCUUGCUAUGUCUAAAUAAGGACUUUAGAAUACUUCAAUUUCCAAUAUUCAUUUCACUGUAGUCAAGUAUUUCAGUGUCACCAUGUUGUUAGCACUCUUCCAAUUUAUCUGUUAAUGUCCUCAUUAUUUUUAGGAGUCGAUAUUUAUUGAAGUUUACUAACACGUUUUUACCAGUUUCUCUGUUUACCAUUGUAUCGUGUGCUCCACAUCUCUCUUUAGCUCAUUUUCUUUUCUGCUGUAGUAUAUUCUUAGUCAUUUCUUUCAGCAAAUGUCUAUCAGUUUUAUCCUUUCUGUAUCUGAAAAUGUCUUAUUUUAUCCUCCUUUUAAAGUUAAUAGUUCAGAUGGAUAGGAAAAUAAUUCAAAUAUAUAGAACAGUUGAAAGACUUUUACAGUAAACACCUAUAUCCUAACCACCUAGAUUCUAUAUUUGUUAACAUUGUGCAGUAUUUGUUUUAUCCUACAUCCACUUAUCUAUUUCUCCAUCUUAUUUUUUUAUGCAUUUCAAAAUAAGUUGUAGACAUCCAUAUACCUCAUCCUUAAAUGCUUAGACUGAAUAUGAUUAGCUACUAUUCAAUAUGUGUUUAGAAUUCCUUUUUUGAAAUAAAAUAUA